UAUAAUAAACAACAUUAUUCACUGAGGCUGCUGCAUAUCACAUAAUAGAUUAUAGCUUCUGACUGAUUGCAUACAAUUUAAAGAAUGUUGACCAAAUCAUUGGCUUGUUUACAGUUUUGAGCUUCAUAACUGUUUUAUUGUUUAAAGUGGAUCUAUAAUGCCCCUUUCAUAAGAUGUAAUAUAAGUCUCUGGUGUCUCCAGAAUGUGUGUGUGAAGUUUCAGUUCAAAAUACCCCACAGAUCAUUUAUUAUAGCUUGUCAAAUUUGCCCCUAUUUGGGUGUGAGCAAAAACACGCCGUUUUUGUGUGUGUCCCUUUAAAUGCAAAUGAGCUGCUGCUCCCGCCCCCUUUCCAGAAGAAGGCGGAGCUUUAACAGCUUGCGCUUCGGUUGCUCAACAACAACAAAGCUGGAGAAUCCAAAAACCACUAGGCCAGUGUUAUAUAUUUUGUUUACUUGAGCACUUACAAUAUCCCAAAUGUUUCCAACUAUUUGUAAAUCGUGAGAAAAUUACAAUUUUAACCAAGGCUCCGGGACGUGUGAGGAGUCGCCUGUCAAUUGCGUUAUACCCGCGUUACCCUCGGUUUCUGGUUUUAUUUUGUAGAAACCAUGGAAACACCAAAGACUCUUUAAUAUUUACAUGUUUUAAUAGACAAGGGAACAACUGUUUUGAUAUAUUUAUAGACAGAAAACAACCGCAGCUGCUGAGUGAACGCACAGGGUAAUGUUAUAACAUCAUUUUCAACACUCUCAAAUGUAUCUAAUAUGAUAAACAGAGCUGUUACCUCAUACUCAUGACCGGAAAAGCGGAAGCAGCGCCGGUGACUGUGGCGUAAUAAAAGUCCCGCUGCUCGUGAGGCGUGUGUUGCGCAAUCGCUCCAGCUCCUCAUUCAGCUCCCACAACACUCGCUCCUGCUCUGCUUCAUACUACAGUAACGUUAAUAAUCGCAUCCAUGAAUAUGAUUUCUUCCCGAGUCCUAUCCCGAUUCUUUUCCACCGGCUGUUAAGACCACAUGUCCCAAAAUUCUGCGCUCAAACUUGCCGUCAUCAAGCUACGCCUUUGUUUUGAAUAGACCUCUAGCGACCUCUAGCGGACAGAAAUCUUACAUACUGCACUUUUAAUAUGGGGAAUUUUGUGUUUUGGUGCAUUGAAAAAAAUUGAUCUUAUGUCUGUUAUUCUUUUCUCUGACAUUUUAUCUGGCCAACAACACAAAGCGAUAGUUGUUUAAAUAUGAGUUAGAUUCAUAGGUUCACCACGCGGUCAUGUUAUAAUUAUUAAACUAUCUUGCGUUCCCCAUGUAGUAUUUUAGGUUUUGUCUGGGACAGAGAAUGUCAGCAAGCCACUUAACAUCAUAUUUGAGCAAAACCAACACAACGAUAGAUCAACAAUAUUAAUAUCAGUUCACACACAGGCUUAUCGCCGUGUCAGUUGUAGUGGGUGACUUAUAACAAGCUGCGGUAUUAAACAAGCUACCAAACAAUAACAGCUAACAUAGUGGACUCAUGGAAAAAUACAUCAGUUAUCAUCAUUUUUUGACAUGACUAAUUUAUUAAUGACUCAGCAUCAUCUGUAUUAAAGAGAAACAAACCACUUCAUCCAAUGUUUAAAGUAUUGGACCAUCAAAAUGAAGUGUUACUGAGAAUUUUUAUGCAAUACAGUUUAUAGACUGAAAGAAAAUGUUGUUUCACAAGAUAAAGCAAGUUACAUGGUGAAAGAUUAUGAAAACAAACAUUGUGCUGACAGUGGACGCUUGCUGAAUACAAAUGAAACUGAAACUAAUACUGCAUCACAUGCUCAUGCUGUAUCAGUUCCUGUUAAAUCAUACAUUAAUUUUGUAGCAGGUCGAGCACAUUCAAAAUGAAAUAUUAUAUCUAUUUAUUAGAUAAAGGCAGCAAUAUAGAUGUAUCUGUGGCGAACUCAAAGGAGGAAUUCAAGAACAUGAGAGUUGAAGAAUUAGAACUCAAAAUCAAUGUCUUCAUUUGUCCUAGUCUACCUUGUCCACUUCUCUACAAAGGCAAGCGACUAGACAGAAAUCGGACACUUGGUUCUUAUGGCAUUAAACACAAGGAUGUUAUUUGCAAAGAAUAUCGAAACAGUGAUCAGGAUCUCUACGGUGUGCUUUCACAUAAAUCUAAAGAGAAAGAGAAAGACAAGACUCAGUCUAUGGAUAAUCUGGCUCUAAUGCAGCAGACUCAACCUGAACCCAAUAAAUCCUGUUGCAUACUGUAGUUUCAUCAAAACAUUGGUUCACUUCAUAAUUGUGUUAUUGUUGAUCUGUUAUUGUUAUUGAUGUCUGACUGAUGAACACAUGAACAUGCUCUCUAUGAGACUCACGCUGUAUGAUUGACAUUUCUCUUCUGUCCUGAGCUCUAACAGAGGAACGUGCACAAAUUUUGUUUACGAUGAAAUUGUCACUGUUUUUAUCUAGAAAAAACUGACAGAAAUGAACUAUUAUCCCACAGAUCCCCUACAUAAUAUAAAAGUAAACUUUAUUAUGAUGAUUGUUGAUCCUUCACACAAGUACAGAUUGAAGACACGACAUCAUUCGGUUUCUGAUGGAUCUUUUGUUGUUCUGCUCCACAUCAGGUAUCGCAAUUUUAAGACCAUGCAAACGAAGAUACCCUCCACCUGUAGAUGAACAUGUAGGAGCCAAACAAAAAGAUGAAGUUGAAAUCAUUCCCAGAUCCUGCUCUAUGGAUAAUCUAUUAUGUGAUAUGCAGCAGCCUCACUGAAUAAUGUUGCUUAUUGUAGUUCAGUCUCACAUAAUCCUCAUAAAUAUAUUGAUCGUGUGAUGUGAUCAGGUAUAGUUCAGAAGUGUUUGAGUGAAUUUCUAAUGGACAGUAGAUCAGAUCUCAUCAACACACGUGUGUAUCUGAACUGAGAUCAGAAUAUCAAGCUUCAGUUCACAGAUUCACACUGUCUGAGGAAAUCCUCUGAACCUCUCAAACUCUUAUUAUUCACUCUUCAACAUCGACUGCAGACUGUAGCUGGUUUCUUUUUAGUACAAAACCACCUUACAGACAUUCAAUACUAAGUAAACAAAGUAGGGUAUCAUGAGAAUACCAGUUUACUGUGUUUAAAAUUACACACUUUAAAGUGUGAUAGAUUUUCUCCUACGCACCAGACUCAAGUCUCUCAAACGUCUACAGUCGACGCUUCAUUAACAAACUCUAGCGCAUCUCCAGUCAACGUCUUGACCCUUUUUGAACACUAUCAUUUGGGAAUAAGGUCUCUUAUUGCUGCGCAGCAGAAACCAGACAGACUCCAGACUAUGCUUUAUAAUAUGCUGUAGUCACGGCCGGAGGACCUCGUGUCAAUCACAGAGAAUCCCAAGAAAACAACAGUUUAUAAAGGAUAGAAGCAUUAUGAAUAUGAUUGGUUCUGGGUCUGAUAAGCCUAGGGCUUCAAACGGGUUGAGUAUUAUACUGAAAUUUUGUUUUGUUCAUUCUGUUAUUGAUUUGUACAUAUUAUUGUGUUUUUUCUUCUUUUAAUAGUUUGAGUUCGAAAUUAAGAUUUCAUUAAUUCUUUCAUAAAAGUGUGUAUAAAGGAUAUAUAUUUCUAUAUAAAGGAUCAAUUUAUAGUUUUAAAAGUGACUAAAUGCAUGUUUUCUCUCUGGAAGAGCUUUUAUAUUCAACUAAACUACAUAUAUUGUGUUAUUUUAGUGCAGGUACAUGAAUUGAGACGCACCUACUUUGUGUUUAUAUAAAAAUGAACAUAACUGAACCUGUAGGUCUUUAUUACCAUUAAACUGAAUAAAAAUUAUAACUACUUUAACCUCA